AUUGAACGCUGGCUGCAUGCUUAACACCUGCCCGUCGAGCGAGCGGCGGACUUGUGAGUACUGUCUGGGAAACUGCCUGAUGGAUGGGGAUACCUACUGGCACCUGUCUCUACUACCGCCUACCAUCGCCUUUUCCCAGAUUGUAUUAGCUAGUAGGUGGGGUAAAGGCUCACCUAGGCGACGAUCCCUAGCUGGUCUGCGAGAAGGACCGGCCACACUGGAACUGAGACACGGUCCAGACUCCUACGGGAGGCAGCAGUGGGGAAUAUUGCACAAGGGGCGGAAGCCGGAUGCAGCCGUGCCGCGUGUAGGAAGAAGGCCUUCGGGGUGUAAAGUACUGUCAGCGGGGAGGCGUUGCCCGCAGAAGAAGGACCGGCUAAAUCCGUGCCAGCAGCCGCGGUAAUAC
rnacentral:rRNA from 1 species